rnacentral:rRNA from 1 species
AGCAGCCGCGGUAAUUCCAGCUCCAAUAGCGUAUAUUAAAGUUGUUGCAGUUAAAAAGCUCGUAGUUGAAUUUUGGGUUUGGCCAAUUGGUCCGUUCUUGUAACGAGUACUGGUUGGUUGGGCCUCACCGCUUGGUGAUGCGUAAUGUCCUUUAUUGGGUGUUGCGAGCAGCCAAGACCUUUACCUUGAAAAAAUUAGAGUGUUUAAAGCAGGCUUAUACCAGAAUACAUUAGCAUGGAAUAAUAGAAUAGGACGAUUCAUCUAUUUUGUUGGUUUCUAGGAGCAUCGUAAUGAUUAAUAGGGAUAGUUGGGGGUAUUAGUAUUCAAUUGUCAGAGGUGAAAUUCUUGGAUUUAUUGAAGACUAACUACUGCGAAAGCAUUUGCCAAGGAUGUUUUCAUUAAUCAAGAACGAAAGUUAGGGGAUCGAAGACGAUCAGAUACCGUCGUAGUCUUAACCAUAAACUAUGCCGACUAGGGAUCGGGCGAUGUAUUUGAAUGACUCGCUCGGCACCUUAUGGGA